UAAAUGAAAGCAAUUAGAUUCCCAAAGAGCUACCAAAAGAGCUUUAAACACUGUGAUGGAGUCAUCUCCGUGCUUCUUUGUGCAUUAAAUAACACAAGCCGAUAGUCGGUCUCAGAUCCAGCAUAAAUUGAAAAUAGUGAGGAGUGUGUAGAUAUCUGCAAAAUGUUAACAGAUAUAAAAAUAUCUGUGGUGUCUGUUGUUGACACAGUCAGAGGAACUGCUAAUGCUAGCGAGCUUCCUUGCUGUUAUGGACUGAACGUUUGUCUGAAGGAAGGCAGCUGUCCAUAAGUCAAGCAAGAAACAGGUUCUCAUCAGGAACCAAAUGCGCCUGUGCCUUGAUCUUGGACUUCCCAGCCUCCGGAAUGAGGAAGAAACCCAGCCCACAGAGGGAGCGCAAGCGCAGGUCCCAUUCAGGAAGGCUCUACCCUCCUGACCUAGUCACCUCUCCACGGCCUGCCUCCUGCUAUCCCCGCCGUGGGGGAUACGCUGGCAACAGGUGAAUUUGGGGGAGAUCCGAAUAUUGAGACCAGAGCCCCCAGUACUGGUGGGAUUACACGUAGCCUCAGGGGAGGUGAAUUCCAUGCACAAACCCACAUGAGAGUCUGUGGCACCGAAGGACCCCGUGUCAGCACCGACCCCACUUAUAAGGCACUUGGAUUGGAGGUUGCCCUUCCAACCAGUGCCCCUACUGCAGUGUUUAUAGCCCCCAAGGGCCUUCAACUAGGCCAGCAUUUAGUAGGUGCUGUGAAUCAUCCAGAAUCGAGGGGACUUCACUGGUCUUGCUGGGGAGCGUGGGCUGAGCACUUCGGGGGUGGGGGGGUCCAUGGCUAGGAAUAACCACACAGGUCAUCUGGAGUGCUUGCCGGAGCUGGGCACUGUCCCAUGGGCUUUUUAAUUCCCUGAGUGACGGGGGUGGGUGCAGUGGACACCCCAUCUUACAAAAGAGAAACUGGGGCUCCGAGAUGUACCACGCCCCUGGUCACUCGCUAGUCCCGUCAACUGUUUGAUGCAAUUAUUUCAGUUUUCUCUUUCAGCAUUUUAUUUGCAUUUUCCUCCCUCAAGCAGGGGCAGCAAGGACGAAGGGGAAAUCUCCCACGUCGCGGAAACCGUUCCCUGGCCUUGGGCUGGGCCAGUCGGAAUCCGGUUUUCUGGUUUUUGUUUUGCUUUGAUGGGAAACACGCUGACGUUUGUCGUGCUGUCUACUUCUGUUGCUUUGUUGGAGCCUUUCUAUCACCCCACGUCUUGGUCUUAGGAUGCUAUUUUAUUUUAUUUUUUUAUUUAAUAAUUAUUAUUUGUUUUGGAUUUUAUUUACUUGUCAGAGAGAGAGUGCUCAGACAAGCCCGGGGAGCAGCCCAAUGGGAUACCUAUGGGGCUCAAUCCCAGGACCCUGAGAUCACGGCCAGAGCCAAGGCAGAC